rnacentral:rRNA from 1 species
CCUACGGGUGGCUGCAGUGAGGAAUAUUGGUCAAUGGACGGAAGUCUGAACCAGCCAUGCCGCGUGAAGGACGACGGCCCUAUGGGUUGUAAACUUCUUUUGCAGCAGAGCAAUAAGGCGUACGUGUACGUCGAUGAGAGUAUGUUGCGAAUAAGCAUCGGCUAACUCCGUGCCAGCAGCCGCGGUAAUACGGAGGAUGCGAGCGUUAUCCGGAUUUAUUGGGUUUAAAGGGUGCGUAGGCUGUGCUGCGAGUCAGCGGUGAAAGAGCGGAGCUCAACUCCGAAAGUGCCGUUGAUACUGCAGUGCUGGAGUACCCCUGCCGUGGGAGGAAUGAGUGGUGUAGCGGUGAAAUGCAUAGAUAUCACUCAGAACACCGAUUGCGAAGGCAUCUCACGAAAGGGCAACUGACGCUGAGGCACGAAAGCGUGGGGAUCAAACAGGAUUAGAUACCCCGGUAGUC